AGUAGCUAANCUCUACUAUUAAGGA
rnacentral:tRNA from 1 species